AUGACAGCAGUGGUCAUCACACCAGGUGGAUCUCACACACUUACCUGCACGGCCUCUGGAUUUGGUGGUGAUUAUGACAUGUCCUGGAUCAGGCAGACACCAGGAGGAGGUAUCAGCGGUGAUGAGAUCAGAUUAGAUCAGUCUCCUGCUGUGGUAAAGAGACCUCAGGAAACAGUGAAGAUCUCCUGUAUAAUAUCUGGCUUUAAAAUGACAAGCUUCUACAUGCACUGGAUAAGACAGAAACCAGGGAAAGCUCUGGAGUGGAUUGGAAGAGUUAACUCUGGUAGCGGUGAUGUUAUAUAUGCAGACUCAAUGAAAGAUCAUUUUAUUCUGAGUGAGGACGUUUCUGCAAGUACACAAUAUCUUGAAGCCAAGAGUCUGAGAGAAGAGGACACUGCUGUAUAUUACUGUGCUCGAGAGUCACAGUGA